rnacentral:lncRNA from 1 species
AGGCAGCUUCCACAUUGUCCAGUAUCGACCGUCGUAGUACCCGGAGGAGCUGUUGUGCUCACGGAAGACGAAGCCAACCUUGCUGAACUCGAGGCAGGGCACCCACUUGGAGCGGAUCAGGUAGUCGACCUGCUUCAGGAGGGCCUCCGUGGAGAGGGGUGGCAAGUAAGACAGGGUCUCGAACUUCUUGAUGCCCUCAAUCGGCCACACCUGAAUGAAUGGAAAUUGUGGAAUGCACACAACUGCUUAACACUUGGUGCUAGUAAAUUGUACGUACAGAGGAAGAAACUCAUAUCAGUUUUGUGCCUCGAGUCUCGACAUACCUGCAUGCACCUGAUCCUUCCGCCAUUGCUGACGCGGCCGAGGCUGCCGCUGGAGCGGCGGCUGACGGGGAGACCGGCUGUGGACUUGAGCCCCUGGAAGGGUGCGACGGUGGUAGCCGACGAAGCCAUCACGGCGGGGGCCAUGGUAUUGUAUUAUCGGAGGAGAGGAGGAUGCCGGCUACAGGUGAGGCCACCAUUGCCGGGUCACUACGGUAUAUAUAGCCAGACACUUAGCGUCGUUUCUUUGGUACAGAUGUGGUUGGGGUGGCUGACGUUCUCUGGUUGCCUCGUUUCCUUAUCUUCUCCGGAUCAGUGGAAGAAGCAUGGCCGUCGGAUGCGUUGUGUGUGCUGGAAAUUUCAGUCCUUCAUGUCAUUGGCUGGCUGCCACACAACCUUUUUCCAGCUUUUCUUGUUUUUGGUUUCAUUUAAAGCCAAAAGUUUCUUGAGUACAAAUUUUCUGAGAUGCGACUUGAGUGGUGCGGGCAAAAUAUUUUACAUUUUAUCAUAAGAUCUGAUGGCUCACUCUCUCGAAAGUAUGCCCAUAGGCGUAGAGUGUGCGUGUGUGCAUUUAUAGGGGUUGUUGUACAUGUGUGUAUGUGAACGUCUACAUUUGUACACCGUUUCUCAAAAUAAAAUAUAUGUUUUGUUGGUACAAUUAAUUGAACUAGCAUAGUAACCGUCCACACGCAGAACAAGUUCUUUCCCCUCUCGCAAGGCAACUAUUGAAAGCUUUCCAGCCCUCUAUAUCCGCCAGUGAGCCCGUGGAUCCGCCUCCCCUCUGCCGGAAGGGGGAUUCCUGGUGCCUCAGCUCUGGCUAGUAGAUAAGUAGGGUUUUUAGUCCUCAUAGGUGAGGCUCUUGGACGGAUGGCAGCCCUUCUUCUUCGAGCCAAUCUUUCGGGAUCCGAUCCUCUUCAAGUUCCUCUGUCUAGGGAGCUCCGACGUAGAUUCUUGCCAGCUCCUCAGGCGGCGAGGUUAGGAUUUCUCGUCAUGCGUAUGCACAAUGAAAUUUGUGUCAGGUUCUUUAGAUCGAUUCAGGGAUUCAACGGCGGCGACUGCGGCUCCAGAGCACUAGUCCUUAGGGGCACGUGCAUGAAGACUUCCUGGCUGUCAUCGACAAGGUCAAGGUAGCUCUAGAGUGGGAGCAACGACAACGGUGCUUUAGUGGCUCGUCUCUAUGCGUAGGAACGAAAAGAAAGCCCUAUAUCUCGACUUUUUGACAACUCUCUGUGACAAUGGGAUUGAGCUACUCCAUACCUUGUUUUAAACACUACUGGGUAGGAACGAAAAGCUCUAUAUCUCAACUAUUAACACAUAUGGCUAAAUCUGUACCUUGAAUUAUAGGAUAUGCCAAUCGGUCAGUGGUGGGCGGUCUCUCACAUACAUUGUCUCUCAAGUAGGGCUGCAAAUGAGACGAGUUCGAGCGAGUUGGACUUGACUCAGCUCAACUCAUAUUAAAAUUCGAGCAAGCUCAAACUGAGUGAAGCUCAAGGUCAAGCUGUAGAACAUGACUCAUGCUCAACUUGUAACGAUCUCGAGUCGAUCUCGAGCUAGUUUCGAGUUAAAUGAGAUGAUAAAAUUUAUAAAUUUUAUGACCAUUAUUCCAACUAGAUAAGCACAACAUGACAUAAAAAAGCACAAAAAAUAUUAUUCCAAUCAGAACAAUGAUAAUACAAUUUUCUUUUGAAAUGAUACAAAUUUUGUUAGAAGUAGUUUAACUUAUUCUAUCACAACCGAAAGUCUAGUAUCAACGUAAGAUAACGAUUCACGACAUAUAUAUAAUUGCGAAAACGAAGGUGCAUAUGCUGGGAACUUUUGCUAGAAACAACAAAAUAUUUAACACAUGGUCGACCACAUACCAUAAUAAGGCCUAAAUUUUCUCUACAACUAAUUAAGCUUCGAUGUUUGUUUGUAAAUGAAAUGGAGAAAAAUCCUGGAUGGCACAUAUGGUAUUAAAUUAUCAUAUUUUCAUUUAUUAUAUGGCAUGAUCAUUUAACAUAAUGAUAUUAUGCCGAGCUAUCGAGCUAAAACCGAGCGAGCCAGUAUUGGCUCAAGAUCGGCCCGUUUCUCGACUGAGCUAUAGAAAGUGUUUGUACUCAACUCGUUUCUUUUCAAGUCGAGUCAAAAAUCGAGUCGAUCUCGAGCCGCUCACGAGCCUCAAGCUUUUCUUACAGCCCUACUCUCAAGCAGUGUCAUGUUGAGACAACUCAAUCAUCCUACUUUCCAUCCCAUAUGAGCGGCAGAUAACGGAAAGACAUUAAUAUCACAAGGCCUGGACCGGAGGCAAUAAGUUGUAUGGACAACCAUGAAGCCUAGAAUAAUUAUGUUCCUCUCAUGAUAUCGAUGCCCUGGCACCUGGAGGUCUCUCGAUUUGCGCCUCGAGUUGAACUUCUCCAACUACACCAAUUGAUCGGAUGGCUCCAAUCACUAAAUUACCGCAAGAGUAAAUAAUACCAUGAAGAGGAAAAACAGGAAUAGACGAUGCAUAUCAAAUAACCGCUUACUAGCUGACCGACCCAUAGCCAACGAUUACUCAAAUAACAUCACAUAUAAAAGGGUUUAAGAGUUGUUACAACCCAUUACGGAGACUGUGAUGGGGGACGAGAAGGGGUAUGGGUGAGGGCGGAGUGGCGACGGCGGCGCUUCUCCAGCAUUGCCUCCUUCAAGGUUGCAAUGAUGGAGAUGGAGGCUUGGCACAGCCCUCAAGUGUUUUUUUAUGUCGAUGGCAGCUGGACGUAUGGAUCGUGUCCCCGAGUGGCUAGGGUUGGAGGUGUAUUUAUAAGAACUCUCCCAAAGCCUCCUUCGUUGAUGUAGCAUCUCUACUUUGAUCCAAGUGCUCUACGUGAGCCAAAUAUUUCCCAAAACCUCCCUUGAUGGCAAAGAAAGUAGUAGGAACGAACCGGGACAAAAUCCUCAAAGAAUCCCCGUCUGAAAGGGCAACUUUCGGGCUUGUCUAGGCGUAAUACGAGCACUGGUACAUCCUUUUUUUUAUGUAUCAAAGGUCGUUGAACGCUUUGGACUCUUUGGUAAAACCGCCGUAACUUUUACAUCCGGACUCUAUUUUUGACGUUCAUGUGCUCGUUGGAAUCACGAUAACGGCGCCGAUGCACCUGUGGUAUUACAUAUUGAUUUUGAGCACUUUGGAAAACAACUUUUUUCACUCUCCGAAAUGCCCAAGUCUGGUGUCUCGAUGUCCUUCGUUUGGAUCCUUUUCAUUGUGUUAAGUGCGUGAGAGUUCCACAUUACGUACAAACACACAAAGAAAAAUAAUACUAAUAAGAAUAAAUAUUAUGCAAUGCUCGCGCUGAAAAUGUUAAAUACUGCCAUACUGGAGAUCAUGCAUAUGGACAUGCAAUUGUGGCUCAAUGGCACAUGCUAUACGGAGAUAAUAGGCGACAAAUGAGCUCUAAACGUGUGUAAAAAUAGGUGCCAUCACUUGGAUCAACGAGAUAUUAUCUUGUGGAACACCUUCCAUCCUUUUGAAGGGUGUGCCUAGUAGGUAAUUCCAAUGAAAACAUGGGAUCCACCAGGGUGACCCACCGUUACCACUUCUAUUUUUCUUGGCAGUGGAUUUACUUCAGUCUAUCCUCAGUGACAUGUAUCAUCGUGGGGAGCUCUUUUUUUCAACCCAUCUCAUGAUCUAGACUCUCCAAUUGUGCAGUAUGUUAAUGAUAUGUUGUUGAUUAUGCUGGAUAUUGAUUCUCAGCUUAUUGACCUAAAAGAAAUGUUACAACUUUUGUCUAAAUCCACUUGCUUGAAAGUGAUUUUUUGUAAAUCCUCCAUGGUUCUUAUAAAUGUGAUUGACGAUGAAGCUUCUCAUUGUCCAGUUUGUUUGAGUGUUAACAGGGUAAGAUGCCUUUCACUUACCUGGUUUACCUAUGGUUAACACUAGGCCCAAGAUCUAGGACUUAAUGCCUUUGGUUGAUAUAAUGAAAAUGAAAUUGGCAGCUAGCUCUUCUAUGCUCUCACAAGGUGCUAAAUUGAAACUUUUGAGGUCUGCCAUUUCAUCUAUGCCGAUAUACUAUCUUUGUAGUCUCUAGACUCCCCCUGGAAUUAAACAACUGGAGAGAAUUGAGUAGAAUAUCUCUGGCGUGGCAAUGCUGAUAGCUCAAAUCAACCAUUCGUGAUAUGUCAUCUGGUAUGUAAACCAAAGGAGAAUGGUGGUAUCGGUAUCAUUAACCGUCAUAUUCAAGACCAACCUUUGCUUACAAAACACUUGCGCAAAUUUCAUAAUAAAGCUCAUAUUCCAUGGGUAACUUUGAUAUAGAUUUCUUACUAUCAUGGAGUCAUACCCGACGCAACAGUCCUUUGUGGCUCUUUCUGAUGGAGGGAUAUUUUGGAACUUAACGAUCAGUACAUGGCAAUCUCUUCAAUCAAAGUUAAUAUUGGCAACUUUGCCUUGUUCUUGUCUGAUGCUUGGUUGAUUGAGGGAUUUUCUCUACCUCUUCGACAUCGUUUGGAUAGGCUCUUUUCAUUGCCUUGGAUGACAAAAUUUCUGUUAAAGAUUUUAAAGAAACCCCUGAUCGGGCCACUCUUUUGCACCAGCCAUUUUUUGCUGAGGCGAUGGAUGAAUCGCAACCUCUGGAUGGUUGGUUACACAGCCUUCAGCGAAACCAAACCCUGCCUGAUGUUUGUUCUUGGUAAGGAGGGUCAUUUUCCGCCAAAAUCUUCUACUGCAUGAUGCACAAGCAUAUGCCCACCGAUGAACCUUGCAAAUGGAUAUGACAGAGCACCAUGAAGAUCAAGAUCUUUGCUUAGAUCCUAUUAUUUUAUCAGUUGAACGCUCGGAACAUGCUCCUUAGAAGGCACUGACAUUCUCCUCGGGAUGAAACCCAUUGUGCUCACAUGAGCAAAGAGACCACUUGCUUUUCUCCUAUAAUUUUAGUCAAAGGAUUUGGACUUAUUUACAGAUUGAUUGGAGCCCCAGACGAAACACUAGACAAUGUAUUGAUGCUGCAUGUAGACGAUUUGGACACCCUUUCUUCUUUGAAGUGGUGUUCUCUUGGAACUAAUAUUUGUAUUAUUACAAAUGGCAAGAUCUUCACAGGGGAGAGGCCAUCCUUUCCUGCUUGGUGUUGUAAAUUUGUACAUGACAUCUCUUCUUGUAGAUAGAGUUAAUGCUUACCAAAGCUCCUGGAUUGGAUUAGUAAUCUCCAUUAGAUAAAUAGGUAGGUAGGAAAGUGUUGUUUUUCCUUUUUUCUUGGUUCCCUUUGUAAACAUUUUUUGCUUGCUUUUGUUUUGAUGGAAUAAAGGACUGGAGCUGUUGCUCCAUACUAGUUACAAAAAUCCGAGUUUUUUCUUGAUUUUUCACUAGUAUGAUUACACUCCUUCACAAAGGAGCUCAUGCAAUGCAUGUUGGAGAUUUAUUUCAAUAGUUCCAUAACAUGUUUUGAAUGCUGUUGCUAUCUAGUUCAGUUAGAUGCUUAUUGUCCAGACCAACAAAAGUUCUUUAGUAAGGGUCUCUACAAGAAUAUGUUUCAUCCUAGUCUACUAGCAAAAACCGAUGUAGAUGCUGGUAGUGACAUGGAAAAGAAACCAUAAUCUUUUUGUAUUGAUAAGUAAAGAAACUGAAAUUUGCAACUGCAAAUCAGGGGAUCUUAAUGUCAAAUACUGAAUGCUUCCACAACUAGUUGUGAGACAUAUUCAUUGCAGUGCCAAAUAAAGAAACUUUUCCUGAAUUAAUAACAGCAAGACAAUGGUCCGCGUGUUUGUAUAUAAUAAAUAUCACACAGGUUUUGUAUAUGUGUAGCCGGUUCUAGAAUUUACAUAUGCAUGCUCGAGAACCUAUGUUCGUACAUACACACACAGACCAUAUAGAAUGAAAAAUAUGCUCUGGUCGUCCAGCAGAGUGGUGGACAAAAGUUAAGUUCACAAAAGACCUUCAUACAUAGGCCAUUGUUUCAACUCGUAGUUUAGGCCUUGCCAGACUCCUCGCAACCCGGUGGCCUGAAGGCGAUGAAGCUGACGCACUGCACCUGGCGCAGGUUGUCGAAGCCGAUGACGCGGACAUAGGCGUCAGGGUACUCCUUCUUGACCUCCUCCACCUCGUUGAGCACCUGUGUGGCGUCGGUGCACCCGAACAUAGGCAGCUUCCACAUUGUCCAGUAUCGACCAUCGUAGUACCCGGGGGAGCUGUUGUGCUCACGGAAAACGAAGCCAACCUUGCUGAACUCGAGGCAGGGCACCCACUUGGAGCGGAUCAAGUAGUCGACCUGCUUCAGGAGGGCCUCCGUGGAGAGGGGUGGCAAGUAAGACAGGGUCUCGAACUUCUUGAUGCCCUCAAUCGGCCACACCUGAAUGAAUAGAAUGCGCAGAUGCUCAAUACUUGGUGCUAAGUAAAUUAAUUGUACCAACAAUUCUAGAAAAAUCUGUUGAUGAGCAAAAAAUUGCUCCUGAUGGACAGGUCUCAUAUGCAUUGUUCGUUUGUCCACAAUGAAGAAAGCUUAAGGGUAGCCCUUAAACUGAUGGGCACUCUGAAGGUACUAAGAUAAUUUUAUCUAGUCCAUGCUGCAAUAAAAAGUAUUUCCAUUCACUAAGUUAUGAGUUGAUUGCUUUUACAUACGGAUCCCAGCUUAGGGACAAGGUUGAAUGAGCAUCCAAAGCCAAAUGGUUUCCAUAGGCAACAAAACAAACAGAUAAUAAGGUUUCGGAAUAAUCUGUUGACCAAAUUAUGUUAUAAAUUGGGGAUGUUCUGCAAGUGAAUUACUUGUACUGCCAAAGAAACUCAUGUCAGUUUAAUUAGUGACUGACAUACCUGCAUGCACCUGAUCCUUCCGCCGUUGCUGACGCUGCCGAGGCCGGCGCUGCUGGAGCGGCGGCUGACGGGCAGGCCCGCGGUGGACUUGAGACCCUGGAAGGGUGCGACGGAGGUGGCCGAGGAAGCCAUCACAGUGGGGGCCAUGGUGUUGGAGGAGGGAAGGUGGCAGGCUAAGCUUGAGGCCCCCAUUGCUGGGUCACCACGGUAUAUAUAGCCAUAUAUGGCCAGCUCCUAUCUUUAAUCAAGAUGUGGAAGGGGUGGCUGGCGUUCGUUGGUUGCCUGGUUUCCUUAUCUCUCCGGAUUAGUGUAAGAGGCAUGGCCGUUGGAUGAGUUGUGUGUGCCGAAAAUUUCAGUCGUCCAUGCCAUUGUGUGAUUGCCACAAACCCUUUUUCCAGCCUUGCAUGUACUGUAUUAUUCUUUUCGUUUUAUUUUGCUAAAGGUAACGCUUGAAAGGUGCAGGAAGAACUUCCUUUGCUGAUUUGCGAUUUAAGUUGAGUGGCACAGGCAUAACGAAUGUUAUAGUACAUCCUUUAUCCACUUCUAUAAUACAAACUUGUCAAUCAAUUAUGCUUGCUUGUAACCUUUGGCGCUUCAUUUUAUAAAAUUUUAUACAGGUAACGUACACAUUUGCUGCAUGUGUGAUGUGUGUCAUCAUGACCUUUAUGUCUUUUAUUCACAAUUAUUCAUUGGAACACAAAAGUGUUGUACUGUUUUCUACGCCUAAUCAUUUACAUGCCCUGGAGGAUUUUUAGUAUUGGAAAUGCUAUUUAAUUGGGUGUCCAAGCAAGGUAGAACUUUGUUCUAAUCCACGAGCAAAAGUUUUAGAUCCCUCUGUUGUCCAUUUACUCAGUUCGUGUCGGCCCCAGUGAACUCAUAAAUUACAUAUGGUGAGUCCAUCAUGAUUUUGUAUCAUCGUUGAAUCUAGCCCACAAAAAAGGCAGAUGUAUAUUCAUUCAUUUCAUGGUGAUGAAGCAACCUGCAAAAUGAUGCGAUCGACCAUGACCACUCAGUGAUAUGGCAAUCAUGUAGACGGACAUUGUGAUCAUCUAGUCAUUUAAGAUAGAUGUCGUGAUCUUCUUGUGUGACCGUCUCAUAGAUUUGAGCUGCAAAUCGAAUCUUAUAUUCUUCCAAAAAAAAUUCUGAAUUUCCUGCAUGUAAGAUGAUAAAGCUGAGUUUGUAAUUAAUUAUUUUUUGUGAAUCCUUAAUGAUAAUUAACACGACCCAGAUAUUACAAAAUAUCCAUAAUUAUCAUGACUGAAUCAAUAAAUUACUAUUGCAGAAUGAACCUUCCAUAGGCCCCUCCACUUGGGCCCGCCGGUGGAGAGAUUCAUCACUCAUGGGCCACAAAACGCCAGCCAUGCAGGAGGACCUUCACUAACGGGCCCUUAAGUUGGCAUCAAUGGAGGGUCACCCAUGGGGCCCAUAGAUCCAACUGAAUGGACGGUCCAUCUCUACUGACGGUCGUACCACACCACUCGUCAAUGUUGGGUGGCCCGUCGGUGCUGAAUUAAGGUAUUUCUAUCUACUGGAGACGAAGUGGCCUUAUAUGCGCUUUCUCUUUUCUCCUAAACAAAACCAUGCCGCCGCCCCCAAUCCCUUCAUCCCCAACAUCAUCACCACCCUAUCCAAUGUUUUCGUCUCCUUUCAUGUGUGCCCCCUCCUUCUCCCACAUUGAUCUGGUCCAACGCUACCGUCUCAUCCCGCGAUUAUCGUCAUCUACUCUUCGGUUACUCGUGACGGCGCGGGUUGUGGCUUCCCGCUUGCUCUCUCGUAAGAAUGGUUGGGUAAACCCCAAGUGUAAGGAUGAAGUAACCUAGUAAUAAGUAUUGUCCUCAAUACGUUUCUCAAACCAGUAGGAAUUUCUUCUACAACCCAAAUCCUCGGUACCUGCACACCAAACACAAAACAAUCUUGCCCCAACGUUUCAAGAAGGUUGUCAAUCUUCUUGUCCUACUAGUUACAAGGAUUAGUUGUUAGUUGAAAGCAAAUAUCGGUUGCUAAGUAGCCUUAGUGCGGUUCGCACCUUUAGACCUGCCAUGGCACUGUCAACACUAUACUCGCCAUGCUUAGGGUUCACACUUUUUAUAUACACCAAGAUCAGCCUAGGUGCUUCGUGUCGUACUAGCACUAAUCCAGCCAUCAAUAUAAAGGAAAUGCUACCCAUAGUUCCAAAGCUUAGUUAUUCAAAUAUGAGUCAGAUAUGGUACUAAUAUUAGUUUAAAAAAGGCACAUGUAGUUGGUCAGCCAAUGUUCCUUCUUGAGUUUCAAAAUACACGUACGCCACUUAAAGAGAGACAUGAGUGAAUAGUAUUUCUUUGUGCCAUCUUCUCCAUCAUGGAUGGGCAACGAACAUUGCGUUGUAUAGAAAGAAGAGUUAUAUCCACCUUUUACAUAGAUUAUGAUUUGCCUAAUUUCGAAGCUUAUUUGUUCAAAUAUGAGUUUGAUAUGGUACUGAUAUUAAUUAAACAAACACACAUUUAAUUGUCAGCUAAUGUUCCUACUUCAGUUUUGAAAUGCAUGUCCGCCCCUUAUAGAGAGACAGAAGAGGUUUGUAUUUCUCCAGGCGCUCUGGUCAUCAUGGUUGAGGGAUGAACUUUGUAUAUCGUAUAGGUUGAAGCUAUCAUCUGCCAACAAUCAUCACUUUUGGAGAUCUCAACAGGGAGCCUUUUUUAAGUAGUAGGGUCAUAUUAUAUUAAUGCACGCACCAAAUUACAACACACAUAGCAUCCCUCGGCAGACUUCUAGAGAUAGUACGCAUGGGUCUAUAAGGACGCACUAUUGGGGUAGAAUCCGCAAUGCAUUUGUGACACCCCGAUUGAGAGAACCGGAGGUCCUCGUGUUCCAGCCCAGAGAUCCAUGUCUUCUGGAACAUGACUAUAACUUGGUACAUGUAGACCAAAAUAAAUAAGUACUUAUGUACAAUAGCGUCUUAAUAGUACAAUCCUCUUGCACAGCAGGUGGACACGUCUAAGUGUCAGAAGCUCAAGGGCUUUAUUCUAUGAGUGACUUAAGGAAGUACUAAAGACGGAAAUAAUACUAAUGACACAACGGAAGACGGGGUACCGGCGGGGCUCCAAUCCAAAGAGACACUGCUGGGACACCAUCUAGUCCAGGUACAUGAACUCUUCGGGAAACUCUUCUAUUGGCUCUCCAGUAUCUGGAAUGAUAAGGCAGGUGAGUACUUUGAAUGUACUCACAAGCCCACAAAUAAUCCAAAGCAAGCAAGAACAGAACAAAUAAACAUAGCAACGAAGUAAAGAUUAGUGAAGCUACUACUAUCAAGACUACUCCAUAAACUUCUCAUUUGCUUGUUUAACGUCCACUGGACCUCUUCCUGGUGAAGGAAAUAUGCCCUAGAGGCAAUAAUAAAGUUAUUAUUUAUUUCCUUAUAUCAUGAUAAAUAUUUAUUAUUCAUGCUAGAAUUGUAUUAACCGGAAACAUAAUACAUGUGUGAAUAUAUAGACAAACAGAGUGUCACUAGUAUGCCUCUACUUGACUAGCUCGUUAAUCAAAGAUGGUUAUGUUUCCUAGCCAUAGACAUAAGUUGUCAUUUGAUUAACGAGAUCACCUCAUUAGGAGAAUGACGUGAUUGACUUGACCCAUUCCGUUAGCUUAGCACCCGAUCGUUUAGUAUGUUGCUAUUGCUUUCUUCAUGACCUAUACAUGUUCCUCUGACUAUGAGAUUAUGCAACUCCCGUUUACCGGAGGAACACUUUGUGUGCUACCAAACGUCACAAUGUAAAUGGGUGAUUAUAAAGGUGCUCUACAGGUGUCUCCAAAGGUACUUGUUGGGUUGGCGUAUUUCGAGUUUAGGAUUUGUCACUCCGAUUGUCGGAGAGGUAUCUCUGGGCCCACUCGGUAAUGCACAUCACUAUAAGCCUUGCAAGCAUUGUGACUAAUAAGUUAGUUGCGGGAUGAUGUGUUACGGAACGAGUAAAGAGACUUGCCGGUAACGAGAUUGAACUAGGUAUCGAGAUACCGACGAUCGAAUCUCGGGCAAGUAACAUACUGAUGACAAAGGGAACAACGUAUGUUGUUAUACGGUCUGACCGAUAAAGAUCUUCGUAGAAUAUGUGGGAGCCAAUAUGGGCAUCCAGGUCCCGCUAUUGGUUAUUGACCGAAGACGUGUCUCGGUCAUGUCUACAUAGUUCUCGAACCCGUAGGGUCCGCACGCUUAAAGUUACGAUGACAGUUUUAUUAUGAGUUUAUGUAUGUUGAUGCACCGAAGGAGUUCGGAGUCCCGGAUGAGAUCGGGGACAUGACGAGGAGUCUCGAAAUGGUCGAGACGUAAAGAUCGAUAUAUUGGACGACUAUAUUCGGACUUCGGAAAGGUUCUGAGUGAUUCGGGUAUUUUUCGGAGUACCGGAGAGUUACGGGAAUACGUAUUGGGCCUUAUUGGGCCAUACGGGAAAGAAGAAAAAGGGCCUCAAGGGUGGCCGCACCCCUCCCCUUGGUCUGGUCCGAAUUGGACUAGGGAAGCGGGGCGCCCCCUUCCUUCCUUCUCUUUUUCCCUUCCUCUUUUCCUAUUCCAUAUGGGAGGUGGAAUCCUACUAGGACUAGGGAGUCCUAGUAGGACUCCACACUUGGUGCGCCCCCUCCUAGGGCCGGCCUCCUCCUCCCUUGCUCCUUUAUAUACGGGGGCAGGGGGGCACCCCAGAGACACAACAAUUGAUCCUUGAGAUCUUUUAGCCGUGUGCGGUGCCCCCCUCCACCAAAUUACACCUCGAUAAUAUCAUUGCGGAGCUUAGGCAAAGCCCUGCGUCGGUAGAACAUCAUCAUCGUCACCACGCCGUCGUGCUGACGAAACUCUCCCUCAACACUCGGCUGGAUCGGAGUUCGAGGGACGUCAUCGAGCUGAACGUGUGCAGAACUCGGAGGUGCCGUGCGUUUGGUACUUGAUCGGUCGGAUCGUGAAGACGUACGACUACAUCAACCACGUUGUGAUAACGCUUCCGCUGUCGGUCUACGAGGGUACGUGGACAACACUCUCCCCUCUCGUUGCUAUGCAUCGCCAUGAUCUUGCGUGGGCGUAGGAAUUUUUUUGAAAUUACUACGUUCCCCAACAGUGGCAUCCGAGCCUGGUUUUAUGCGUUGAUGCUAUGCACGAGUAGAACACAAGUGAGUUGUGGGCGAUAUAAGUCAUACUGCUUACCAGCAUGUCAUACUUUGGUUCAGCGGUAUUGUGAGAUGAAGCGGCCCGGACCGACAUUACGCGUACGCUUACGCGAGACUAGUUUCACCGUUCGGAGCACUCGUUGCUUAAAGGUGACUGGCGGGUGUCUGUCUCUCUCACUUUAGUUGAACCGAGUGUGGCUACGCCCGGUCCUUGCGAAGGUUAAAACAGCACCAACUUGACAAACUAUCGUUGUGGUUUUGAUGCGUAGGUAAGAACGGUUCUUGCUAAGCCCGUAGCAGCCACGUAAAACUUGCAACAACAAAGUAGAGGACGUCUAACUUGUUUUUGCAGGGCAUGUUGUGAUGUGAUAUGGUCAAGACAUGAUGUGAUAUAAUGUGUUGUAUGAGAUGAUCAUGUUUUGUAACCGAGUUAUCGGCAACUGGCAGGAGCCAUAUGGUUGUCGCUUUAUUGUAUGAGAUGCAAUCGCCAUGUAAUAGUUUUACUUUAUCACUAAACGGUAGCGAUAGUCGUAAAAGCAAUAAGUUGGCGAGACGACAACGAUGCUACGAUGGAGAUCAAGGUGUCGCGCCGGUGACGAUGGUGAUCAUGACGGUGCUUCGGAGAUGGAUAUCACAAGCACGGUGCUUCGGAGAUGGAGAUCACAAGCACAAGAUGAUGAUGGCCAUAUCAUAUCACUUAUAUUGAUUGCAUGUGAUGUUAAUCCUUUAUGCAUCUUAUCUUGCUUUGAUUGACGGUAGCAUUAUAAGAUGAUCUCUCACUAAAAUUUCAAGAUAAAAGUGUUCUCCCUGAGUAUGCACCGUUGCAAAAGUUCUUCGUGCUGAGACACCACGUGUUAAUCGGGUGUGAUAGGCUCUACGUUCAAAUACAACGGGUGCAAAACAGUUGCACACGCGGAAUACUCAGGUUAAACUUGACGAGCCUAGCAUAUACAGAUAUGGCCUCGGAACACAGAGACCGAAAGGUCGAGCGUGAAUCAUAUAGUAGAUAUGAUCAACGUAGUGAUGUUCACCAUUGAAACUACUCCAUCUCACGUGUUAAUCGGAUAUGGUUUAGUUGCUUUGGAUCACGUAAUCACUUAGAUGAUUAGAGAGAUGUCUAUCUAAGUGGGAGUUCUUAAGUAAUAUGAUUAAUUGAACUUAAAUUUAUCAUGAACUUAGUCCUGAUAGUAUUUUGCAAAUUAUGUUGUAGAUCAAUAGCUCGCGUUGUUGCUUCCCUGUGUUUAUUUUUUGUUCCUAGAGAAAAAUUAUGUUGAAAGAUGUUAGUAGCAAAGAUGCGGAUUGGAUCCGUGAUCUGAGGAUUAUCCUCAUUGCUGCACAGAAAAAUUAUGUCCUUGAUGCACCGCUAGGUGACAGACCUAUUGCAGGAGCAGAUGCAGACGUUAUGAACGUUUGGCUAGCUCAAUAUGAUGACUACUUGAUAGUUUAGUGCACCAUGCUUAACGACUUAGAAUCGGGACUUCAAAGACGUUUUGAACGUCAUGGACCAUAUGAGAUGUUCCAGGAGUUGAAGUUAAUAUUUCAAGCAAAUACCCGAGUUGAGAGAUAUGAAAUCUCCAACAAGUUCUAUAGCAAAAAGAUGGAGGAGAAUCGCUCAACUAGUGAGCAUGUGCUCAGAUUGUCUGGGUACUACAAUCGCUUGAAUCAAGUGGGAGUUUAUCUUCCAGAUAAAAUAGUGAUUGACAGAAUUCUCUAGUCACCAUCACCAAGUUAGUAGAACUUCGUGAUGAACUAUGGUAUGCAAGGGAUGACGAAAGUAAUUCCCGAGCUCUUCGUGAUGCUGAAAUCGAUGAAGGUAGAAAUCAAGAAAAACAUCAAGUGUUGAUGGUUGACGAGACCACUUCAAGUGUUGAUGGUUGACGAGACCGCUAGUUUCAAGAAAAGGGCAAAGGGAAAAAGGGGAACUUCAAAAAGAACGGCAAGCAAGUUGCUGCUCAAGUGAAGAAGCCUAAGUCUGGUCCUAAGCCUGAGACUAAGUACUUCUACUGCAAAGGGACUGGUCACUGGAAGCGGAACUACCCCAACUAUUUGGUGGAUAAGAAGGAUGGCAAAGUGAACAAAGGUAUAUUUGAUAUACAGAUUAUUGAUGUGUACUUUACUAGUGUUUAUAGCAAUCCCUCGGUAAUUGAUACUGGUUCAAUUGCUAAGAGUAGUAACUCGAAACGGGAGUUGCAGAAUAAACAGAGACUAGUAAAAGUGAACAAAGGUAUAUUUGAUAUACAGAUUAUUGAUGUGUACUUUACUAGUGUUUAUAGCAACCCCUCGGUAAUUGAUACUGGUUCAGUUGCUAAAGAGUAGUAACUCGAAAACGGGAGUUGCAGAAUAAACAGAGACUAGUAAAAGGCGAGGUGACGAUGUGUGUUGGAAGUAGUUCCAAGAUUGAUAUGAUCAUCAUCGCACACUCCCUGUACUUUUGGGAUUAGUGUUGACACUAAAUAAGUGUUAUUUGGUGUUUGCGUUGAGCAUGAAUAUGAUCUGAUCAUGUUUAUUGCAAUACGGUUAUUCAUUUAAGUUAGAGAACAAUUGUUGUUCUGUUUACAUGAAUAAAACCUUUAUGGUCAUACACACCAACGAAAAUGGUUUGUUGGAUCUCGAUCGUAGUGAUACACAUAUUCAUAAUAUUGAAGCCAAAAGAUGCAAAGUUAAUAAUGAUAGUGCAACUUAUUUGUGGUACUGCCGUUUAGGUCAUAUUGGUGUAAAGCGCGUGAAGAAACUCCAUACUGAUGGGAUUUUGGAAUCACUUGAUUAUGAAUCACUUGAUGCUUGCGAACCGUGCCUCAUGGGCAAGAUGACUAAAACGCCGUUCUCCAGAACUAUGGAGAGAGCAACAGAUUUGUUGGAAAUCAUACAUACAGAUGUAUGUGGCCCGAUGAAUAUUGAGGCUCGUAGCAGGUAUCAUUAUUUUCUGACCUUCACAGAUGAUUUGAGCAGAUAUGGGUAUAUCUACUUAAUGAAACAGAAGUCUGAAACAUUUGAAAAGUUCAUAUAAUUUCAGAGUGAAGCGAAAAUCAUCGUAACAAGAAAAUAAAGUUUCUACGAUUUGAUCGUGGAGAAGAGUAUUUUAGUUACGAGUUUGGCCUUCAGUUAAAACAAUGUGAAAUAGUUUCACUACUCACGCCACCUGGAACACCACGGUGUAAUGGUGUGUCCGAAACAUCGUAACCGUACUUUAUUAGAUAUGGUGCGAUAUAUGAUGUCUCUUACCGAUCUACCACUAUCGUUUUAGGGUUAUGCAUUAGAGACAGCUACAUUCACGUUAAAUAGGGUAUCAUCUAAAUCCGUUGAGAUGACGUCUUAUGAACUGUGGUUUGGCAAGAAACCAAAGUUGUCGUGUCUUAAAGUUUGGGGUUGCGAUGCUUAUGUGAAAAAGUUUCAUCCUGAUAAGCUCAAACCCAAAUCGGAGAAAUGUGUCUUCAUAGGAUACCCAAAGGAGACAGUUGGGUACACCUUCUAUCACAGAUCCGAAGACAAGACAUUCGUUGCUUAGUAUGGAUCCUUUCUAGAGAAGGAGUUUCUCUCGAAAGAAGUGAGUGGGAGGAAAGUAGAACUUGAUGAGGUAACUGUACCUGCUCCCUUAUUGGAAAGUAGUUCAUCACAGAAAUCUGUUCCUGUGACUUCUACACCAAUUAGUGAGGAAGUUAAUGAUGAUGAUCAUGUAACUUCAGAUCAAGUUACUACCAAACCUCGUAGGUAAACCAGAGUAAGAUCCGCACCAGAGUGGUACGGUAAUCCUGUUCUGGAGGUUAUGUUACUAGACCAUGACGAACCUACGAACUAUGAAGAAGCGAUGGUGAGCCCAGAUUCCGCAAAAUGGCUUGAGGCCAUGAAAUCUGAGAUGAGAUCCAUGUAUGAGAACAAAGUGUGGACUUUGGUUGACUUGCCCGAUGAUCGGCAAGCAAUUGAGAAUAAAUGGAUCUUCAAGAGGAAGACGGAUGCUGAUAGUAGUGUUACUAUCUACAAAGCUAGAAUUGUCGCAAAAAAGGUUUUCGACAAGUUCAAAGUGUUGACUACGAUGAAAGUUUCUCACUCGUAUCUAUGCUUAAGUCUGUCCGAAUCAUGUUAGCAAUUGCCGCAUUUUAUAAAAUAUGGCAAAUGGAUAAACAAAACUGCAUUCCUUAAAGGAUUUAUUAAAGAAGAGUUGUAUAUGAUGCAACCAGAAUGUUUUGUCAAUCCUAAAGGUGCUAACAAAAUAUGCAAGCUCCAGCGAUCCAUCAAUGGACUGGUGCAAGCAUCUCGGAGUUGGAAUAUACGCUUUGAUAAGUUGAUCAAAGCAUAUAGUUGUAUACAGACUUGCGGUGAAGCCUGUAUUUACAAGAAAGUGAGUGGGAGCACUACAGCAUUUCUGAUAAGUAUAUGUGAAUGACAUAUUGUUGAUCGGAAAUAAUGUAGAAUUAUUCUGCAAAGCAUAAAGGAGUGUUUGAAAGGAGUUUUUCAAAGAUAGACCUCGGUGAAGCUGCUUACAUAUUGAGCAUCAAGAUCUAUAGAGAUAGAUGAAGACGCUUGAUAAGUUUUUCAAUGAGUACAUACCUUAACAAGAUUUUGAAGUAGUUCAAAAUAGAACAGUCAAAGAAAAGAGUUCUUGCCUGUGUUACAAGGUGUGAAAUUGAGUAAAGACUCAAAGCCCGACCACGGCAAAAGAUAGGAAGAGAAUGAAAGUCAUUCCCUAUGCCUUGGCCAUAGGUUCUAUAAAGUAUGUCAUGCUUUGUACCAGAUCUAUUGUAUACCCUACACUGAUUUUGGCAAGGGAGUACAAUAGUGAUCUAGGAGUAGAUCACUGGACAGCGGUCAAAAUUAUCCUUACUGGAAUAAGGAUAUGUUUCUCGAUUAUGGAAGUGACAAAAGGCUCGUCGUAAAAGGUUACGUCGAUGCAAGUUUUGACACUAAUCUAGAUGACUCUAAGUCUCGGUCUAGAUACAUAUUGAAAGUGGGAGCAAUUAGCUAGAGUAGCUCCAUGCAGAGCAUUGUAGACAUAGAAAUUUGCAAAAUACUUACGGAUCUGAAUGUGACAGACCCGUUGACUAAAAUUAUCUCACAAGCAAAACAUGAUCACACCUUAGUACUCUUUGGGUGUUAAUCACAUAGCGAUGUGAACUAGAUUACUGACUCUAGUAAACCCUUUGGGUGAUGGUCACAUGACGAUGUGAACCAUGGGUGUUAAUCACAUGGUGAUGUGAACUAUUCAUGUUAAAUCACAUGGCGAUGUGAACUAGAUUAUUGACUCUAGUGCAAGUGGGAGACUGAAGGAAAUAUGCCCUAGAGGCAAUAAUAAAGUUAUUAUUUAUUUCCUUAUAUCAUGAUAAAUGUUUAUUAUUCAUGCUAGAAUUGUAUUAACCGGAAACAUAAUACAUGUGUGAAUAUAUAGACAAACAGAGUGUCACUAGUAUGCCUCUACUUGACUAGCUCGUUAAUCAAAGAUGGUUAUGUUUCCUAGCCAUAGACAUAAGUUGUCAUUUGAUUAACGAGAUCACCUCAUUAGGAGAAUGACGUGAUUGACUUGACCCAUUCCGUUAGCUUAGCACCCAAUCGUUUAGUAUGUUGCUAUUGCUUUCUUCAUGACCUAUACAUGUUCCUCUGACUAUGAGAUUAUGCAACUCUCGUUUACCGGAGGAACACUUUGUGUGCUACCAAACGUCACAACGUAAAUGGGUGAUUAUAAAGGUGCUCUAUAGGUGUCUCCAAAGGUACUUGUUGGGUUGGCGUAUUUCGAGAUUAGGAUUUGUCACUCCGAUUGUCGGAGAGGUAUCUCUGGGCCCACUCGGUAAUGCACAUCACUAUAAGCCUUGCAAGCAUUGUGACUAAUGAGUUAGUUGCGGGAUGAUGUGUUACGGAACGAGUAAAGAGACUUGCCGGUAACGAGAUUGAACUAGGUAUCGAGAUACCGACGAUCGAAUCUCGGGCAAGUAACAUACUGAUGACAAAGGGAACAACGUAUGUUGUUAUGCGGUCUGACCGAUAAAGAUCUUCGUAGAAUAUGUGGGAGCCAAUAUGGGCAUCCAGGUCCCGCUAUUGGUUAUUGACCGGAGACGUGUCUCGGUCAUGUCUACAUAGUUCUCGAACCCGUAGGGUCCGCACGCUUAAAGUUACGAUGACAGUUUUAUUAUGAGUUUAUGUAUGUUGAUGUACCGAAGGAGUUCGGAGUCCCGGAUGAGAUCGGGGACAUGAUGAGGAGUCUCGAAAUGGUCGGGACGUAAAGAUCGAUAUAUUGGACGACUAUAUUCGGACUUCGGAAAGGUUCUGAGUGAUUCGGGUAUUUUUCGGAGUACCGGAGAGUUACGGGAAUACGUAUUGGGCCUUUUUGGGCCAUACGGGAAAGAAGAAAAAGGGCCUAAGGGUGGCCGCACCCCUCCCCUUGGUCUGGUCCGAAUUGGACUAGGGAAGGGGGGCGCCCCCUUCCUUCCUUCUCUUUUUCCCUUCCUCUUUUCCUAUUCCAUAUGGGAGGUGGAAUCCUACUAGGACUAGGGAGUCCUAGUAGGACUCCACACUUGGUGCGCCCCUCCUAGGGCCGGCCUCCUCCUCCCUUGCUCCUUUAUAUACGGGGGCAGGGGGGCACCCCAGAGACACAACAAUUGAUCCUUGAGAUCUUUUAGCCGUGUGCGGUGCCCCCCUCCACCAAAUUACACCUCGAUAAUAUCAUUGCGGAGCUUAGGCAAAGCCCUGCGUCGGUAGAACAUCAUCAUCGUCACCACGCCGUCGUGCUGACGAAACUCUCCCUCAACACUCGGCUGGAUCGGAGUUCGAGGGACGUCAUCGAGCUGAACGUGUGCAGAACUCGGAGGUGCCAUGCGUUCGGUACUUGAUCGGUCGGAUCGUGAAGACGUACGACUACAUCAACCGCGUUGUGAUAACGCUUCCGCUGUCGGUCUACGAGGGUACGUGGACAACACUCUCCCCUCUCGUUGCUAUGCAUCACCAUGAUCUUGCGUGUGCGUAGGAAUUUUUUUGAAAUUACUACGUUCCCCAACACCUGGCACGAGUCCUGCUCAAACGACUCAUCGACAUAACUUACCAGUUACCACAGCUAUUAGAGUUUAAAGUAAAGGAAUUUUGGUGCUUGGUCAAAUAAUGUGACCUAACACAAACGGUGUCCCAUUGCCAGGGACUCGGCUAUUCGAAUAGUUUGAACACACACUCUGUAGAGGUCACACAGUUUACCCACACCAUAGACUCUUUGUCUAACUAUUCUCAUUCAUAGCAUGGCACUCUAACUAUGCCUCCGACCUCCCGCGGGCUUGCCCUGGCAGAGAGAAUCUGGGUCCUUUCCACCCCGUGUUGCACCACUUGUAUUCCCUUGGGAAUCUUUUCUCUUAAGCUCAUCCACAGACCCUGGCUCUCUUGACUGAAUGGCAACUUCCAAGCCAGAGGAAGUCUACACAUUCCAUCUUCCCUCUUCGGAAACACACGAAAGAAACAUAACUACAAACGUAAUAAAGCCCUCCCAUUCGGACAGAUGUGCUUGUAAUGAGGAUGUUCGGCUUCGUGGCAGUUGGAUUGACCAGCUAUUUAAAGUUGGGUUAACAAGGAAAGUAAAACCGUGACUUUGUAAGCUACUGAAAUCCACAACUUGUUAUCCUACUAGGGUGAAGUAUUCACGAGGAUUCAUCAUCCUAAGUAAAGUCUUUCCCCGAGAUUCUUCGUGAACGUUGCUACCUAUUUUGCUUAUGAUUCAUGUUGGCAAAAUAAUUACCGGUUAUGAGUCAUAGUUAAACUUCUAUUCUACUAGGACCAAAUCAAGGCAUCCUUUAUAGUGACUCACUAUGCUAUUUCAACCACAACAAACUUAACAUAAGCAAAGGGAAGCAACAAACAACAUUGAAAGAAAAGUAAUGUUGGAAAAGAAAUGUAAGUUGAACCCAUGGCCUUGCAAUGCCAUCAAGCAAAUGGAGGUGGUGGCUUGCCAUGCUCAAAUGGAGUAGCAAAGCAUUCUUUGUCUUCACCUCCUGGAUUAUUUCCUUCUGGAAAUAAUUUAAAAAGCAAAAUACAAUAAAGCAAAUAAGUCAAAAGUGUGUCUAGCAGCAUCUAGACAAGUCAAAUAAAUCUCAAAUUAUUCCCACAGAAGGAGAAUAAUAUAAGAAAAGUAAUGCAAAAAGAAUAAACUCAUUUGGAGUUAUGGUUUAAGAGAUAUUACUCAUCACAGCUUAGUCAACAGAAUAUAAGUAAAACAAAAAAUAGCCUGAAAUAGAAAAUCCACCAAGCGGCCACGUCGAAGGCGUAUUUCAGAAAUACGCCCCCACUUACGUACCAGUUCGGCAGGGGUUGUAUCACUGACGGGUGGGGCCAUCCUGUCAGUUUUCUUUUUUAAACACCCGGCCGAGGUGUGGUGUUCUAGCGAGGUCUCACCGGCGACUACAGAGCGCUAGGGCUCGAACGAGUGGGAUCACCUUUUGAGAGGUAUACGCAUUUAUUGUGAUUUGUUAGAAUACUCUAUGUGCUUCACUUAUAUCUUUUGAGCUAGGCAGUUGCUCUGGUGCUUCAUUAUAUCUUUUAGAGCACCGUGGUGGUUAUAUUUUAUAGAAAUGAUUGCACUCUCAUGCUUCACUUAAAUCUUUUUGAGAGUCCAUAUAUAGGAAGUGGUAAUGUGCACGUGUUAUAAGACUAGUCCGAGAAGGAUAGGUAUUCAAGGGGGAUACAAUAAAAACUUUCAUGUAGAUCACUAAAUAUGAAAUGUAUAAUUUAAUGAUAUUGAUGUUGUAAUAUGAAAGGAUAUUAGUUCAUGAUCAUUGGUUAGUAGAAAUAUCAGUAUUAAAACUUGUUAUUAACUUCUCAAAUAAGUGUUGGUCAUGGCAUGGUGGCCAGGUUUGAGCAUUUGUAUUUCUGAUUGAAAUCCUUGAGUGCUAUUAUAAUCGGAUGCGCGCGAUGGUUAACUCCUACCAACAAAUUCCCUAGGGGCAUAUGUGAGUAGUACUUUGCUUAGAAGGAUAAUAGGAGUUCACAAUAAGUAUGUCAGUUCUUUAUGACUAAUGUGAGUCCAUGGAUUAUAUGCACUCCUACCUUUCCGCAAUUUGCUAGGCUCUGCUGUACCGUGCAUUGCCCUUUCUCACCUCGAGAGUUGGUGCACACUUCGCUGGUGCAUCCAAACCCCAUGGUAUGAUACGCUCUAUCAUACAUAAGCCUCCUUAUAUCUUCUUCGAAACAGCCGCCAUACCUACCUAUUAUGGCAUUUUCACAACCAUUCCGAGAUAUAUUGCCAUGCAACUUCCACUGUUCCAUUUUCAUAACAUGUGUGUUCAACGUCAUAUUGCUUUGCAUGAUCAUAUAAAGUUGGCAUGAUAUUUGUGGCAUUGUCACCGUUCAUCAUGAUUAUACAUGUUACGCUAGAUCAUUGCACAUCCUGGUACACUAUCAGAGGCAUUAAUAUAGAGUCAUAUUGUUCAAGUUAUCGAGUUGUAUGUAAAUACAAGUGUGAUGAUAAUCAUUAUUAGAGCAUUGUCCCAGUUGAGGAAACGAUGAUGGAGACUAUGAUUCCCGCACAAGUCGGGAUGAGACUCCGGACGAAAAAAAAGAGAGAAAAGAGAGAAGGGGCAAUGUUACUAUCCUUUUUUUUUGCAAGGUAAUGCUACUAUCCUUUUGAACACUUGUGCUUUAGAGUAGCACCAUGUUCUUCACAUAGAGAGUCUCCUGAGUUAUCACUUUCAUAUACUAGUCGUAUUUUUUCAUUAUAGAAUUUGACUUGCAUAUUCUGAUGAUGGGUUUCCUCAAAUGGCCGAGGCCUUCAUGAUCAAGCAAGUUGGAUGCACAUCCACUUAGUUUUCAUUGAGCUUUCAUACACUUAUAGCUCUUAGUUCAUCUAUUGCAUGGCAAUCCCUACUCCUCGCAUUGACAUCGAUUGAUGGGCAUGUCCAUAGCCCGUUGAUUAGCCGCGUCGAUGCGAGACUUUCUUCCUUUUCAACUUUCCUUAUUAAUCUUUAUCACCGCAUUCUAUUCAACUUAUAGUGUUAUAUCCAUGGCUCACGUUCAUGUAUUGCAUAGGAUUGAAAAUGCUGAAGCGCAUUAGAAGUACGAUCCAUUUGCCUUGUUUGACACCGGGGUGCUCAUGAUUUAUAUUUAUGCAGUGAAGGUGGGGUCAUGCCAUGCUAACAUAAUAAAAUGAGUGGGGAAAGCAUUCAUUGAGGAUUGUAUAUUUUAAAAGGUUAAUGAUUAUGUUUCUUAUAUUCAUGGAUAUUAUUAUGUUGACAUUGUUACUUCAUCGUUUCUCAAUAAUUAUACCGUAAAAAUAUUACAUGAUACACAUGUUAGGUAGCAUUUCACAUCAAAAAUUCUUUUUUUAUCAUUUACCUACUCGAGGACGAGAAGGAAUUAAGCUUGAGGAUGCUAAUACGUCUUCAACGUAUCUAUAAUUUUUGAUUGUUAUAUUAUCAAUCUUGGAUGCUUUAUAUGCUUUGUAUGCUAUUUUAUAUCUUUUUGGGACUAACGUAUUAUUUUGAAUAUUUUUUGAAUUGUUUGGAUUGCUUACCACAUGUGUCAUGUGGUUUGGGACUAACCUAUUAACCCAAUGCCAGUGCCAGUUACUGUUUUUUUGCUUGUUUUUGGCUUUUUAGAAAACCAAUACCAAACGAAGUCCAAACACAAUGAAACUUUACGGUGAUUUUUUCUGGACAAGAAGGGACCCUAAAAGGUUCGGGUGGAGGCUAGAAGAUCUACGGGAGAGCCACAAGCUCACAGGGUGCGCCCCCUGAGCUCAUGGGCCGCACGCAGCUCCAUUUGACCUAAUUUCACCUCCAUAAAUUCACAUAUAUUCCCAAACCAAUAGAGAGCCACCCGAAAUACUUUUUCCGCCGCCCAAGCUUCUAUUUUUCCGUGAGCCCAUAUGGAGGCCUUUUCCGGUACUCUGUCGAAGGGGGAAUCGAUCACAGAGCGCUUCUACAUCAUGCUUGCUGUCUUACAAUGAUGCAUGAGUAGUUCACGACAGACCUACGUGUCCAUAACUAGUAGCUAGAUGGCUUCUUAUCUCUCUUUGAUCUUCAAUACAAUGUUGUCCUCGAUCUUCUUGGAGUUCUUGUAAGUGCAUCUAGUGCCACCCCUAGUUGGUUUUGGAGUAUUGCCGACAAACUUGGUUGAGGGACUAAUGUGUUUGUGAGAAUUGCAGGAUAACACAGGUAGUAGUCCCUCAUUGAUUCGGUUUACCUACCAGAGAUGACCCCUAAAAAUGUGUGAAGACAUUGAAGACAAUGGUGGUCUGUGAAGAUAUUCACAUUGAAGACUAUGACAUGAGAAGACAUCGCAUGAAGACUAUGGAGUGCGAAGACAUAGUUGUUUCGUAGUUUCCUUUUCUUCUUUGUUGAGUCAUAGGAACCGCCGUACUGUUAAGUGGGGUCCAAGUGAACAAAGUCCGAGUGACUGAUGUGAUGCUCAACCAAAUCCUAUGUCUUCGAGCGAAGACAAUGAGUGCAAAUCUUAUCCAGAGUUGGAUGAGUCAGCUUUACUUAUAGCACAAGUCAAGCUGCCGCGUGUGUUUGAAAUCUGACUGUUGGACACGUGUCAGUUCCUUAGUGGCCCAGGGUCAUUUUGGACAAAUUAGGUCGGGUUGCCUCCUGGCUAUAAAUAGCCCACCCCCUACACCAUAAAUUGGUGGCUGCUCAUAGUUAGUGCACGGCUUUUGUCGUUUGAGAGCAACCCACCUCCGAAGCAUUUGAGAGAGAGAUCCUUGCGAGGACAAAGCCCAAAACACCCAGAGCCAAAGAGUGUUAGGCAUCACUGAAGUCUUUCUGUCCGCGUGAUCUGAAGACUUGUUACACUUGAGGACUGUGAAUCCUCCAGCCGGUUAGGCGUCGCGUUCUGAGCAUCCAAGAGUCAUUGUGGAUUGCCGGUGAACGAAAUCUAUGAAGGUUUGGAAGUCUACCUUGAAGACUUACCAGAGUGAUUGGGAGAGGACUAAGUGUCCUUAACUCAAGGGGAAUAAGGUGAAGACGCUUUCUUCUGAGUUAAAUCUCAGCCUCCCUAACCAGACGUACAGUUGUCACGGCAACUGGAACUGGUCCAACAAAUCCCUGUCCUCCCCAAGCAACUGGUUCUAUCUCUUAUCUCUCUUUACUUACAGUUUGUCUUCGUGAAGUCAUUACCUGCUUGCAUGAUCUGAUUGUCUUCACUGUGUGAAGACUGCUGUUGUUUGGCUUCAUACUAUCUUCCAUCCUGAUCCAUACUACCUAACUGCUGAUAGUCUUCGUGCUUUCACUUCAUUGCUUACUUGACUAUGGCUUGUCUAGUGUAGUCUACCUUCCGCUGCAUAUCAAUAGGUUCAUUUUUAUUGUUUGUCUUCAAAGCCCCUGUGUUUUGAAGACUUUCAUAAAAAUUGCCUAUUCACGCCCCCCCCCCUCUAGUCGAUAACUAGCACUUUCAGUUCUAUCCGAUGUAAUCUUCUUUUUGUUGGGGAACGUAGCAGAAAUUCAAAAUUUUCUACGCAUCACCAAGAUCAAUCUAUGGAGUACUCUAGCAAAGAAGGGAAGGAGAGUGGAUCUACAUACCCUUGUAGAUCGCGAUGCGGAAGCGUUGCAAGAACGCGGAUGAGGGAGUCGUACUCGUAGCGAUUCAGAUCGCGGUUGAUUCCGAUCUAAGCACCGAAGAACGGUGCCUCCGCGUUCAACACACGUGCAGCCCGGUGACGUCUCCCACGCCUUGAUCCAGCAAGGAGAGAGGGAGAGGUUGGGGAAGACUCCAUCCAGCAGCAGCACGACGGCGUGGUGGUGAUGGAGGAGCGUGGCAAUCCCGCAGGGCUUCGCCAAGCACCGCGGGAGAGGAGGAGGAGGGAGAGGGGUAGGGCUGCGCCAAAAGGAGACUUUCUCGUGUCGUUAUGGCAGCCCAAACCUCAACUAUAUAUAGGGGGGGAGGGGGCUGCGCCCCCCUCUAGGGUUCCCACCCCCAAGAGGAGGCGGCCAGCCCUAGAUCCCAUCAAGGGGGGGCGGCCAAGGGGAGGAGAGGGGGGGCGCCCCACUAGAUGGGCCCUAAGGCCCAUCUGGACCUAGGGUUUGCCCCCUCCCACUCUCCCAUGCGCCUUGGGCCUUGGUGGGGGGGCGCACCAGCCCACCUGGGGCUGGUCCCCUCCCACACUUGGCCCACGCAGCCUUCUGGGGCUGGUGGCCCCACUUGGUGGACCCCCGGGACCCUCCCGAUGGUCCCGGUACAUUACCGAUAACACCCGAAACUUUUCCGGUGACCAAAACAGGACUUCCCAUAUAUAAAUCUUUACCUCCGGACCAUUCCGGAACUCCUCGUGACGUCCGGGAUCUCAUCCGGGAUUUCGAACAACAUUCGGUAACCACGUACAUACUCUCCAUAUAACCCUAGCGUCAUCGAACCUUAAGCGUGUAGACCCUACGGGUUCGGGAACCAUGCAGACAUGACCGAGACGUUCUCCGGUCAAUAACCAACAGCGGGAUCUGGAUACCCAUGUUGGCUCCCACAUGUUCCACGAUGAUCUCAUCGGAUGAACCACGAUGUCGGGGAUUCAAUCAAUCCCGUAUUCAAUUCCCUUUGUCUAUCGAUAUGUUACUUGCCCGAGAUUCGAUCGUCGGUAUCCCUAUACCUUGUUCAAUCUCGUUACCGGCAAGUCUCUUUACUCGUUCCGUAACUCACAUCAUCCCGUGAUCAACUCCUUGGUCACAUUGUGCACAUUAUGAUGAUGUCCUACCGAGUGGGCCCAGAGAUACCUCUCCGUUUACACGGAGUGACAAAUCCCAGUCUCGAUUCGUGCCAACCCAACAGAUACUUUCGGAGAUACCUGUAGUGCACCUUUAUAGUCACCCAGUUACGUUGUGACGUUUGGUACACCCAAAGCAUUCCUACGGUAUCCGGGAGUUGCACAAUCUCAUGGUCUAAGGAAAUGAUACUUGACAUUAGAAAAGCUCUGAGCAAACGAACUACACGAUCUUGUGCUAGGCUUAGGAUUGGGUCUUGUCCAUCACAUCAUUCUCCUAAUGAUGUGAUCCCGUUAUCAACGACAUCCAAUGUCCAUGGUCAGGAAACCGUAACCAUCUAUUGAUCAACGAGCUAGUCAACUAGAGGCUUACUAGGGACAUGGUGUUGUCUAUGUAUCCACACAUGUAUCUGAGUUUCCUAUCAAUACAAUUCUAGCAUGGAUAAUAAACGAUUAUCAUGAACAAGGAAAUAUAAUAAUAACCUAUUUAUUAUUGCCUCUAGGGCAUAUUUCCAACACUUUUGUGGUGUGUUUGUUGGGAUCCGAUGAAUUGUGGGUUUAUGAUCAGAUUAUUCAUUGAAAGUAGUUGAGUCUUGUCUGAAUUUUAUUAUGCAUGAUUGUUAUAGCUUUGUAUUUCCCUCCGAUCUAUCUGUUUGGUUUGCCAACUAGAUUGAUUUAUCUUCAGUGGCAUACGUGCUUUGUAAUGGGUUCAAUCUUGCGGUGUCCUCACACAAUGAUAGAAGGGGAAGCGAGACACGUAUAAUAUUGUUGCCAUUAAGUAUAAAAUUAUGGGUGUAAUCAUAUUGCUUGAGUUUACUUUGUCUACAUCAUGUCAUCUUGCUUUAGGCGUUACUCUGUUCGUCAUGAACUUAAUACCACAGAUGCAUGCUAGAUAACGGUCGAUUAGUGGAAUAAUAGUAGUAGCUGUAGACAUGAGACGGUCUACUUGUCACGGACAUGAUGACUAUAUACAUGAUCAUUGCCAUGAAUACAUCAUAACUAUGUGUUUUUCUAUCAAUUACCCAACAGUAAUUUGUUUACCCACCAUAUGCUAUGUGUUCGAGAGAGAAGCCUCUAGUGAAAACUAUGGGCCCCGGGUCUACUUUUAUCAUAUUAUUAAAACCAAAAAUACCUUGCUGCAAUUUUACACUUUUUAUUUUACUUUUAUUUUUAUCUAUGUAUCACUAUCAGAAUUAAUCCUUGCAAAUAACGAGUUCAAGGGGAAUGACAACCCUCUUGCCCGCGUUGGGUGCAAGUAUUUGCUUUUCUCUGUGUAGGUGCUGCAGAAGGGAAUUAGUGUGGUUCUUCUAUUGGUUCAAUAACUUUGGUUCUCACUGAGGGAAAUACUUAUCUCUGUUGUACUGCUUCACCCAUCCUCUUCGGGGGAAAUCCCAACACAGUUUACAAGUAGCACUACCCCUCCCUCCUCCUCCAUAGAUGCUUGGUGAAGCCCUGCCUGAGCUCCACCGUAAAAUCCACCACCACGCCAUCGUGUUGGCCUUGAUCCCAUCCACCUAUCCAUGUCGCUUGCUGGAUCAAGAAGGAGACGUCACCGAGCGAUACGUGUGCAUAUCUCAGAGGUGCCGUCCGUGUGGUACUCGAUCGGAUUGGAUCACGAAGAGAGUACGACUACGCCAACCACAUUCAUUAGAAUGUUUUCGUUUUAGGUCUACAAGGGUUUGUAAACUUUUCCCCCUCGUUGCUAGCAUCUAGUUGAUUAGAUCUUGGAUGUUUUCAUUGUCUCGUAGGAAAAAAAUUGUUUUCCAUGGAACGAUUCCCAUCACUGACCUGCUUUAAAGAAGUGGGUAGGAGCUCAGGCGACCCGGGCUCAGCAGGUGGCCAGGCGGGAGGUCCCUAAGAGGUGCAUCCAAGAAUGCAACAACCUCCAAGUAGAGAAGGCGUCCCUAGCCGAGAGGAAGAGACAACAAGAGCUGGAGCUGGAGGAAGUUAAGUCUCGCCUAGCUGAUGCCGAGAGUGACGCGGCAGGCCCUUGAGAUCAUAGCCAGUGAGUCUGUCUGUGCUUCAACUCAUAAUCUAGGUGGAAAUUUUAUUUGCCGAUCUGUCAUAGAAAUUCAUUAUUUCCAGCAUCUUUUCCCGAGCCAGUGCUGUUGGAGUGUCACUUAGGAAGAAACUGCAGCAGCUUGGAGAGUUGAACAAGAUCGCGAGGCCGACAAUGGAGGGUAUUUUCAAGGCCCUAUGGCCUGGAGAAAGGUUGUCGGAAAACCAGUUUGACCUCCCGCCGCCUCCCGGAGGGGCAUGCUCGGAUUGCCCUGUGAAAGGCCUUAGUGGCCUGAGAAGAUGCUCGUCAAGCUUGGGCCAUGCUCCAGACCCACUAUCCGGGCUUGAACAUCUGUCCUAUUGCCCUAGUUGGUCCAAAAGGACCUGUCGGUAAGGAGAUUAUGCCUAAUGGCAAUUUCCAACGGAUCAUGCCCUAUACUAGGAUGUCCGAGCAGGAUUGUCGUUUGGAAAAUAUUAUUGAAUAGGCUAGGAGCGAUUACCCUGGAAUGUCAAGGAUGAAAAGUUGUAUAAAAACUUCACGAAUUUCGCUCUAGCCAUGUUUAUUUUUUUCUAUACCGACAACAUGAUAGGUUUGGUCCGACCUGUUUAGCAUACGCUUGCAUUAACCAGCCUUUGGCUUCAACCUCCACAACCAAACGGGGAGGCCUUAUAAUUGAUGUUAACGCAAGGAGUAGGGAUCGCCAUGCAACUAGGAUGCAAACAUAUCUAUGAAUAUAUGAAAUCUCUCGCAAGGAUUAAGUAGGGGUGUGUCCAACUUGUUUGCUCAUGAAGACCUCGAGCAUUUGAUAAAGCUCAUCAUCGGGAUGUACAAGGAAAGUUCUACAACAUAAAUUCCCCAAGCUAGUAUAAAACAUGAAGCUCAUGAAACUUUAAUUAGAUGCUAAUUAUCCAGACCAACAAAAGUUCUUUAGUAAGAGUCUCUAAGAAAUAUAUUUCAUCGAAACUGUCCUACUCAGCUCGAGUGAACAGUUAAAUCCAAAAAAAAUUGAAACAAAAUUUCAAAAAAAUCUAAAUUUUUUUGGUGAUAAAUGUUUUCAAUGCUUGCAAAGUUUCAUCAUGUAAUUAUAUUUGUGGAAGUCAUGCAAAAAUAAUAUCGAUGCUUCAAAAAAGUUAUUUUCGGAGUGCUGAAUUUGUUUAUUGCCGUGACGAAGAUGAAUGCCAGUCUAUGAUGAAACUUUGCAAGGAUAUAUAACAUGUGUCAAAUUAAGCCACACACAAAAAAUCAGAAAUUUUUGAAUUCUUUCUAAAUAUUUUCAGAUUUUAUUGCUCACCCGAGCUCAUAUGAGCUCGAGCUCAGUUAAUCCGUGUCCAUGUUUCAUCCUAUUCUACUAGCAAAAACCAAUGGAGCAGAUGGUAGUGACGUGGAAAAGAAACCAUAAUAAUUUUGUAGUGAUAUAUAAUUAAAGAAACAGAAAUUUGCAAUUGCAAAUUAGGGAAUCUUAAUGUCAAAUACUGAAUUCUUCCACCCACUAGCUGUGAGACAUAUCCAUUGCAGUGCCAAAUAAAGAAACUUUUCCAUGAAUUAAUAACAGCAAGACAAUGGUCCGCGUGUUGUAUAUAAUAAAUAUUACACAGGUUUUGCAUAUGUGUAGCCGGUGCAUAUAGACCUAUGAGGAAUUACGUAUGCAUGCUCAAGAACCUAUGUUCGUACAUACAUACACAAAUCAUAUAGAACAAAAGGUAUGCUCCGGUCCGAAAGCAGAGUCGUGCAGCAGAGUUGUGGACAAAAGUGAAGUUCACAAAAGACCUUCAUACGAGAUAGGCCAUUGUUUCAACUCGUAGUUUAGGCCUUGCCGGACUCCUCGCAACCCGGUGGCCUGAAGGCGAUGAAGCUGACGCACUGCACCUGGCGCAGGUUGUCGAAGCCGAUGACACGGACAUAGGCGUCAGGGUACUCCUUCUUGACCUCCUCCACCUCGUUGAGCACCUGUGUGGCGUCGGUGCACCCAAACAUGGGCAGCUUCCACAUUGUCCAGUAUCGACCGUCGUAGUACCCGGGGGAGCUGUUGUGCUCACGGAAGACGAAGCCAACCUUGCUGAACUCGAGGCAGGGCACCCACUUGGAGCGGAUCAGGUAGUCGACCUGCUUCAGGAGGGCUUCCGUGGAGAGGGGUGGCAAGUAAGACAAGGUCUCGAACUUCUUGAUGCCCUCAAUUGGCCACACCUGAAUGAAUAGAAUGCGCACAGAUGCUCAAUACUUGGUGAUAAGUCAAUUAAUUGUACUAACAAUGCUAGAAUAAAUCAGACGGCAUGCCAAAAAUUGCUCCUUAUGGGCAGCUCUCAUAUGCAUUGCUGGGUUGUUCACAAUCAAUAAAGCUUUGGUUGUACUUAGUUCUAGUAUAUGGGUCCUAUUUCGAGGAUGGGUUUGGUUAUAUACAUCGGGGAUGUUCUGUAAGUGAAUUACUUGCACUGACAAAGAAACUCAUAUCAAUUAGUG